rnacentral:rRNA from 1 species
GCAUGCCUACAACAUAACAUGAAUGCAUUGGAUCCCAUUAGAACUCCGCAGUUAAGCACACUCAAGCUAGAGUAGUACUGGGAUGGGUGACCACCUAGGAAGUCCUAGUGUUUUACAUGCC